GAUUUCUGGCUUGAAACAUUUUGCCGGCCACGGUUUCGUGUGUUAGUGCUUGAUGUUCUGGCCAUCCUUCCAAUCGCUGCUUGCCUUUCUUCAUUGAUGGGCAAGUGGUAUUGGAUCUUUUACUUUGAAAAAAUUAGAGUGUUUCAAGCAGGCUUUAUGCUAUGAAUACAUUAGCAUGGAAUAAUAAUUUAGGACUUCGGUUCUAUUUUGUUGGUUUCUAGGACUGAAGUAAUGAUUGAUAGGGAUAGUUGGGGGUGCUAGUAUUCAGCGGCCAGAGGUGAAAUUCUCGGAUUCGCUGAAGACUAACUUAUGCGAAAGCAUU
rnacentral:rRNA from 1 species